rnacentral:rRNA from 1 species
GACGAACGCUGGCGGCGUGCUUAACACAUGCAAGUCGAACGGAAAGGCUCCAGCUUGCUGGCGUACUCGAGUGGCGAACGGGUGAGUAACACGUGGGUAAUCUGCCCUGCACUCUGGGAUAAGCCUUGGAAACUGGGUCUAAUACUGGAUAUGACCUUUCUCCUUAUGGGGUUUGGUGGAAAGUUUUUCGGUGUAGGAUGCGCCCGCGGCCUAUCAGCUUGUUGGUGGGGUGAUGGCCUACCAAGGCGACGACGGGUAGCCGGCCUGAGAGGGUGAUCGGCCACAUUGGGACUGAGAUACGGCCCAGACUCCUACGGAAGGCAGCAGUGGAGAAUAUUGCACAAUGGGCGGAAGCCUGAUGCAGCGACGCCGCGUGAGGGAUGACGGCCUUCGGGUUGUAAACCUCUUUCAGCAGGGACGAAGCGUAAGUGACGGUACCUGCAGAAGAAGCACCGGCUAACUAUGUG